GCCUCUAAAAUGGCGAUGAAGUCUGGAAAAAGAGAAGAGAUUGGAAUGUAUUGCUAAAUAGAUCUUUUGACUGGCACACCUUCAAAAUCUUUGAUGACUCAGAAUUUCCCCAAAAAUCUAUACCAAACUUGAACUUUUAAAUGUAUCAAAACAGAAUUCUAUAAGGUCGUAAACCCAAAUCGAAGUCUGACAGAUAGACACAGACAUUUAUCGAUGGCCUGAGCUUGUGUCGCAGCCUGGAAAAUGGAAUUUAUAUCUGCGAUGGCCAUGGGAACCAUGGAAUGUGUGGUGGACGCGUGUGGGCAGCAUUUAGUGGGUCUGCAUACCACUCGCAAUUAUUAGAGAAAAAGCACUGGCACUGGAGAGUCAUAACUGGGAGUCAUAAAGUGUGUUUUUACUUUGACCACUCCUCCAAAAGUUUACUGCAGUUGACCUUUCGGAUCCAUUCAGCAUUCAAAGCUCUCUGGCAAUUUGUGGGUGAAAUGAGCUUGGGACUGUUGCCAAACAAAUCGCUCUGCGCACAUA